UGCUAGUUGCACGAGUUUAGACUCGUAGCAGAUAGCUCAGUAACACGUGGCCAAACUACCCUAUGGAUCCGAAUAACCUCGGGAAACUGAGGCUAAUAUGGAAUAGCGUUCAUCGCCUGGAGUGGCACGAACGCGAAACGUUACGGCGCCAUAGGAUGUGGCUGCGGCCGAUUAGGUAGACGGUGGGGUAACGGCCCACCGUGCCCAUAAUCGGUACGGGUUGUGAGAGCAAGAGCCCGGAGACGGUAUCUGAGACAAGAUACCGGGCCCUACGGGGCGCAGCAGGCGCGAAACCUUUACACUGCACGCGAGUGCGAUAAGGGGACUCCGAGUGCGAGGGCAUAUAGUCCUCGCUUUUCACGACCGUAAGGUGGUCGUAGAAUAAGUGCUGGGCAAGACCGGUGCCAGCCGCCGCGGUAAUACCGGCAGCACGAGUGAUGACCGCUAUUAUUGGGCCUAAAGCGUCCGUAGCUGGCCACGCAAGUCUAUCGGGAAAUCCGCGCGCUUAACGCGCGGGCGUCCGGUGGAAACUGCGUGGCUUGGGACCGGAAGACCAGAGGGGUACGUCCGGGGUAGGAGUGAAAUCCCGUAAUCCUGGACGGACCACCGGUGGCGAAAGCGCCUCUGGAAGACGGAUCCGACGGUGAGGGACGAAAGCUCGGGUCACGAACCGGAUUAGAUACCCGGGUAGU
rnacentral:rRNA from 1 species